rnacentral:rRNA from 1 species
CGUAGGGUGCGAGCGUUAAUCGGAAUUACUGGGCGUAAAGCGUGCGCAGGCGGCGCCGCAAGUCGAGUGUGAAAUCCCCGAGCUUAACUUGGGAAUUGUGCUCGAAACUACGGUGCUGGAGUGUGGCAGAGGGAGGUGGAAUUCCACGUGUAGCGGUGAAAUGCGUAGAGAUGUGGAGGAACACCGAUGGCGAAGGCAGCCUCCUGGGCCAACACUGACGCUCAUGCACGAAAGCGUGGGGAGCAAACAGGAUUAGAUACCCUGGUAGUCCACGCCCUAAACGAUGAUGACUAGUUGUUGGGGAGUUAAAUCCCUUAGUAACGCAGCUAACGCGUGAAGUCAUCCGCCUGGGGAGUACGGUCGCAAAGAUUA